GUGGCAGUAGCUCAGCGGCAGAGCUCCCACUUCAUACGCGCGAAGACCUGGAUUCGAUUCCCGGCUGCUUUC
rnacentral:tRNA from 1 species